rnacentral:rRNA from 1 species
AUGAAUGUGCCAGAACACAACUUCCUAGCCUUAUUCAUGCAAGGAAGGGGUGUCCAAGUAUGUGUCUCCGAGUCAUACAUCUCCGCGGAGCUCAGUAUUCUUCCAGAAGAAUCGCUGCCCCCCGCAACAUAUGCCUUUUCACCGACACUUGUCGAUCCGAACAGGCACCGCGGCGAGUUCAUCGGAUCAGCCCUUGUCCAUGAAUUGGUUAGGAUGCUAUAUCUGUACACAAUGUGUGCCAUCCCAAACACCAACAGCUCGGUUCCGACAGCAAGGGACUCCUUGUCAGAGCACAUGAAGCAUUUGUCUGGUGGUAUCUUGGGCACUUGGAUCCAGCGCCCACGGUGCGGGUCGUAA